rnacentral:rRNA from 1 species
GAUUAACGCUGGCGGCGUGCCUAACACAUGCAAGUCGAACGAUGAAACUUAACUGAUUUCUUCGGAAUGAUUUCAAGUGGCUUAGUGGCGGAAGGGUGAGUAACGCGUGAGUAGACUGCCUUGGAGAAGGGGAUAGGCUUUGGAAACGAAGAAUAAUACCCUAUGAUAUGAUACUAUCUCAUGAUAUUAUCAUCAAAGAUUUAUCGCUCUAAGAUGGACUUGCGUCUGAUUAGUUAGUUGGUGAGGUAACAGCUCACCAAGGCAGCGAUCAGUAGCCGGCUUGAGAGAGUGUACGGCCACAUUGGGACUGAGACACGGCCCAGACUCCUACGGGAGGCAGCAGUGGGGAAUUUUGCACAAUGGGGGAAACCCUGAUGCAGCGACGCCGCGUGAUUUAGAAGGCCUUCGGGUUGUAAAAAUCUUUUGUAUGGGAAGAAAAUGACAGUACCAUACGAAUAAGGACCGGCUAAUUACGUG